UCCGAAUUGGUGUAGUGGCCAACAUUUGACGCUCUCAUUAUGCAGACAACCGUCAAGCCCGGGGUUCGAUUCCCCGAUUCGGAG